AACGAACGCUGGCGGCAUGCCUAACACAUGCAAGUCGAACGAGACCUUCGGGUCUAGUGGCGCACGGGUGCGUAACGCGUGGGAAUCUGCCCUUGGGUUCGGAAUAACAGUUAGAAAUGACUGCUAAUACCGGAUAAUGUCUUCGGACCAAAGAUUUAUCGCCCAGGGAUGAGCCCGCGUAGGAUUAGCUAGUUGGUGAGGUAAAGGCUCACCAAGGCGACGAUCCUUAGCUGGUCUGAGAGGAUGAUCAGCCACACUGGGACUGAGACACGGCCCAGACUCCUACGGGAGGCAGCAGUGGGGAAUAUUGGACAAUGGGCGAAAGCCUGAUCCAGCAAUGCCGCGUGAGUGAAGAAGGCCUUCGGGUUGUAAAGGCUCUUUCGUACCGGGGGAAGGAAGUGAUGACGGUACCCGUA
rnacentral:rRNA from 1 species